CUUUGGUACCCUGAACAGAUGGAACUGUAGCAGGUGCAGACAUUAUUUUGUAUAAUUGCAUUAGGGACCGUUCAUAAUUUAUGGCUGAAGUGCGUGAUGAUGAUUGUAAGGGGUGGAGGUGUAACCCGUCUUGUUCUGGGGAGGUAGGGGGUCAUCAGUUUUGUACACAUGCAGGGGUGGGGAGCAAUAUCAGAUAAUUUUUUAAAAUGCAUAAAAUUAUGGAAAGGGGGAGGUGGGGGUCAUUCACAUUGUACAUGCUACUCCAUCAAAAUCAUCAUCACCUCUCCCCUAGCCAUAAAGUAUGAACAGUCCCUUACCCGCUAUUCAAUAUUCCAGC